rnacentral:miRNA from 1 species
ACAUGCAUCACCCGGAGAUCUUGUUAAAAUGUAGAUUCCAAUGUUUGUGGAGUUGAGUCUGAGAUUUGGCAUUUCUAACAAGUUACCAGGUGAAGCCUAA